CCCUGUGUGGCUCAGUUGGUAGAGCAUGGUAUUUGCAACACUAGGGUUGUGGGUUCGAUUCCCAUGGGA
rnacentral:tRNA from 1 species